GCGAAAGCGAGUUUUAACUGAGCGUUCAGUUACUUGACGUAGACCCGAAACCGGGCGACCUACCCAUGAGCAGGAUGAAGCGAAAGUAAAAUUUCGUGGAGGUCCGAACCCACGAGCGUUGAAAAGCUCGGGGAUGACUUGUGGGUAGCGGUGAAAUUCCAAUCGAGCCCGGAGAUAGCUGGUUCUCCCCGAAAUAGCUUUAGGGCUAGCCUCAAGGUGAGAGAUACGGAGGUAGAGCACUGAAUGUCCUAGGGGGUAUUGCACCUACCGAAGACUAUCAAACUCCGAAUGCCGUCAUCUUAUACUUGGGAGUCAGACUGUGGGUGAUAAGAUUCAUAGUCGAAAGGGCAACAGCCCAGAUCGUCAGCUAAGGUCCCUAAAUGUAAGUUAAGUGGUAAAGGAUGUGGGAUUGCACAGACAACCAGGAUGUUGGCUUAGAAGCAGCCACUCAUUCAAAGAGUGCGUAAUAGCUCACUGGUCGAGUGAUCCUGCGCCGAAGAUUUCCGGGGCUAAAACUU
rnacentral:rRNA from 1 species